UACGUAGGGUGCAAGCGUUUGUCCGGAAUUAUUGGGCGUAAAGAGCUCGUAGGCGGUCUGUCACGUCGGCUGUGAAAACCCGAGGCUCAACCUCGGGCCUGCAGUCGAUACGGGCAGACUAGAGUUCGGUAGGGGAGACUGGAAUUCCCGGUGUAGCGGUGAAAUGCGCAGAUAUCGGGAGGAACACCGGUGGCGAAGGCGGUUCUCUGGGCCUUACCUGACGCUGGAGGAGCGAAAGCGUGGGGAGCGAACAGG
rnacentral:rRNA from 1 species